rnacentral:rRNA from 7 species
UGGCUCAGAUUGAACGCUAGCGGGAUGCCUUACACAUGCAAGUCGAACGGCAGCACGGACUUCGGUCUGGUGGCGAGUGGCGAACGGGUGAGUAAUGUAUCGGAACGUGCCUAGUAGCGGGGGAUAACUACGCGAAAGCGUAGCUAAUACCGCAUACGCCCUACGGGGGAAAGCAGGGGAUCGCAAGACCUUGCACUAUUAGAGCGGCCGAUAUCGGAUUAGCUAGUUGGUGGGGUAACGGCUCACCAAGGCGACGAUCCGUAGCUGGUUUGAGAGGACGACCAGCCACACUGGGACUGAGACACGGCCCAGACUCCUACGGGAGGCAGCAGUGGGGAAUUUUGGACAAUGGGGGAAACCCUGAUCCAGCCAUCCCGCGUGUGCGAUGAAGGCCUUCGGGUUGUAAAGCACUUUUGGCAGGAAAGAAACGUUCCGGGUUAAUACCCCGGGAAACUGACGGUACCUGCAGAAUAAGCACCGGCUAACUACGUGCCAGCAGCCGCGGUAAUACGUAGGGUGCAAGCGUUAAUCGGAAUUACUGGGCGUAAAGCGUGCGCAGGCGGUUCGGAAAGAAAGAUGUGAAAUCCCAGAGCUUAACUUUGGAACUGCAUUUUUAACUACCGAGCUAGAGUGUGUCAGAGGGAGGUGGAAUUCCGCGUGUAGCAGUGAAAUGCGUAGAUAUGCGGAGGAACACCGAUGGCGAAGGCAGCCUCCUGGGAUAACACUGACG